CAUGUAGAAAUUCGAAUCACGCUAGCUCCAGUAUAUAUUGUAACUGUAAUAACCUCCAAUCGUAAUUACUGAAUCCUACUGCGCUUCGAAGUACACAGUGUCCGCAAAAUCCAAGCCGUUUAAUAUAUUUCAGUUUAAUUCGGGUCAGAGCAGGUAGCUGUAGCCUAUUUCCGACCAAAGUGAAAAUCUGGCAUUCCACUUUAAAUCCUGGCUGAGUGCAGUUUGCUGUGACAGUUCUCCAAGUCUGCAAAAUGUAUUCACACGCUAGUCUGCUGUUUGCAUGCGUCUUGGUGCUACAAGGAGCACGUUCUAACUCUGACGACAUACUGGCUUUAUCGAAUGACAUUAUUUGGACAUGGGAGGACGACGAGGGCCGCUUCCUUAAUUCUGUACAAUUAACGGGAAAUCUGGGCCCGAGGUAUACUGGCCGAACCCUAGCCAUAUUCCCUAUGAUUUUCAUAAUUUCAAUCAAGGAGAGCGAGAUUCUAUUAAAGAUGCGCUGGAAGCCAUCGAAUGGCGAACUGGAGACUGCCUGACGUUUAAACCCCGAACAAAUGAGACUGAGUACAUCUUUUU